rnacentral:rRNA from 1 species
AACGAACGCUGGCGGCAGGCCUAACACAUGCAAGUCGAACGCACCGCAAGGUGAGUGGCGCACGGGUGAGUAACACGUGGGAAUGUACCCUUUGGUUCGGAAUAACGUUUGGAAACGAACGCUAAUACCGGAUGAGCCCUGCGGGGGAAAGAUUUAUCGCCAAAGGAGCAGCCCGCGUCUGAUUAGCUAGUUGGUGGGGUAAAGGCCUACCAAGGCGACGAUCAGUAGCUGGUCUGAGAGGAUGAUCAGCCACACUGGGACUGAGACACGGCCCAGACUCCUACGGGAGGCAGCAGUGGGGAAUAUUGGACAAUGGGCGAAAGCCUGAUCCAGCAAUGCCGCGUGAGUGAUGAAGGCCUUAGGGUUGUAAAGCUCUUUUACCCGAGAUGAUAAUGACAGUAUCGGGAGAAUAAGCUCCGGCUAACUCCGUGCCAGCAGCCGCGGUAAUGUGACUACUG